GACGUAGGGUGCGAGCGUUGUCCGGAAUUAUUGGGCGUAAAGAGCUUGUAGGCGGUUUGUCGCGUCUGCUGUGAAAUCUCAAGGCUCAACCUUGAGCUUGCAGUGGGUACGGGCAGACUAGAGUGUGGUAGGGGAGACUGGAAUUCCUGGUGUAGCGGUGAAAUGCGCAGAUAUCAGGAGGAACACCGAUGGCGAAGGCAGGUCUCUGGGCCACUACUGACGCUGAGAAGCGAAAGCAUGGGGAGCGAACAGG
rnacentral:rRNA from 1 species